GUAUUGAUUGCGUGUGACCGCAAAAAUAACAUUCUACACUGUAUCAAGUUUUGUGUGAAAACGUGAGCCCUCCUGCAAAGGGGACCCACGCGGUGAUGCACAAAGGGGUAAGAUGGAUAUUUGUAUGUGAGAGGACUCGGGCGUGCACGACAAAAAAAAGCCAGCAACAACCCUCGUACCCCCAUUGUACGAUAAUGAUCCUUCCGCAGGUUCACCUACGGAAA
rnacentral:misc_RNA from 1 species